rnacentral:rRNA from 1 species
UACAGAGGGUGCAAGCGUUGUUCGGAAUUAUUGGGCGUAAAGCGCGUGUAGGCGGCUUUGCAAGUCGGGUGUGAAAGCCCUCAGCUCAACUGAGGAAGUGCGCCCGAAACUGCAGAGCUUGAGUGCCGGAGAGGGUGGCGGAAUUCCCCAAGUAGAGGUGAAAUUCGUAGAUAUGGGGAGGAACACCGGUGGCGAAGGCGGCCACCUGGACGACGAUUGACGCUGAGACGCGAAAGCGUGGGUAGCAAACAGG